rnacentral:rRNA from 1 species
GACGGGCCCGCACAAGCAGCGGAGCGUGUGGUUUAAUUCGACGCUACGCGAAGAACCUUACCAGGGCUUGACAUCUGGUUAAAUACCCUAGAAAUAGGGGAUAGUUAUAGCCAAGACAGGUGGUGCAUGGUUGUCGUCAGCUCGUGUCGUGAGAUGUUGGGUUAAGUCCCGCAACGAGCGCAACCCCUGUCCUUAGUUACCAUCAUUCAGUUGGGGACUCUAAGGAGACUGCCGAUGUAAAUCGGAGGAAGGUGGGGAUGACGUCAAAUCAUCAUGCCCUUUAUGUCCUGGGCGACACACGUGCUACAAUGGCCGGUACAAAGAGACGCCAACCAGCGAUGGUGCGCAAAUCUCAAAAAGCCGGUCUCAGUUCAGAUCGAAGUCUGCAACUCGACUUCGUGAAGGCGGAAUUGCUAGUAAUCGCGAAUCAGCCAUGUCGCGGUGAAUACGUUCCCGGGGUUU